rnacentral:rRNA from 1 species
UACGUAGGGGGCUAGCGUUGUCCGGAAUCAUUGGGCGUAAAGAGCUCGUAGGUGGUUUGUCACGUUGUUCGUGAAAACUCACAGCUUAACUGUGGGCGUGCGGGCGAUACGGGCAGACUAGAGUACUGCAGGGGAGACUGGAAUUCCUGGUGUAGCGGUGGAAUGCGCAGAUAUCAGGAGGAACACCGGUGGCGAAGGCGGGUCUCUGGGCAGUAACUGACGCUGAGGAGCGAAAGCGUGGGGAGCGAACAGG